GACGAACGCUGGCGGCGUGCUUAACACAUGCAAGUCGAACGAAGUGGCGAACGGGUGAGUAACGCGUAAGCAACCUGCCCUUCAGAGGGGGACAACAGUUGGAAACGACUGCUAAUACCGCAUACGGAAGGAGGGGAUUGCGUCUGCUUAGGUAGUUGGAGGGGUAACGGCCCACCAAGGCGAAGAUCAUAAGCCGGUCUGAGAGGGAUGACCGCCAAAAUGGGAAUGAGAAACGGCCCAUACUCCUACGGGAGGCCGCAGUGGGGAAUCUUCCGAAAUGGACGGAAGGCCGACGGAGGAAAGCCGGGUGAGUGAUGACGGCCUUCCGGUUGGAAAGCUCUUUUAAUCGGGACGCGGUACCGGAAUAGUAAGCCACGGCUAACUACGUGCCAGCAGCCGCGGUAAUAC
rnacentral:rRNA from 1 species